UAAGGAUUCCUUACUCUUGGACAGCUCCAAAUGGUCUUUUUUUAAAAAUCAGUACUCAUUCCCCUUGACCUCUCUGCAGUCUUUUAAUGCUAUUGGCUCCCUUCUCUUUGUUAUUCUCUUCGUUCUAGGUUUUUGGGGAUACCACUGUCUUUUCUGUGUUCUGAGAUUUCUCCCAGAUCUGACAUACUACAUAGAAUUUAGAAAGGUCCUUCCUAAUAGAAGGUGGGAAAAUUGAGACACUAAUGCACGUUGAGGGCAUUGUGAACUGAUUUAAUCAUUUUGGAGAGCAAUUUAGAAUUAUAUCCAAAGGUCUAUAAAAUUGUGCAUAUCCAGCAAAAUCACUGCUAGAUUUAUAUCCCAAAGAGAUCAAAGAAAAAUGAAACAGACUUAUGUACACAAAAAUAUUUAUAGCAGUUUUUUGGUGGUGGCAAAGAAUUGUACAUUGAGGAAAUAUCCAUCAAUUAAGAGAUGACUGAACAAAAUGUAGUAUAUGAUUGUGAUGGAAUACUAUUGUUCUAUAAGAAAUGAGCAUUCUGCUUUCAGAAAAAACCUGGAAAGAUUCACAUGAACUGAUGCAAAGUGAAGCGAGCAGAAUCAGGAGAACAAUAUAUACAGUAACAGCAAUAUUGUACAACUGUGAAUGAGUUAACUAUUCUUAGCACUACAAGAAUCCAGAAUAAUUCCAAAAAACUUUUUGUGAAAAAUGUUAUCCAUCUCCAGAGAAAGAACUGAUGCAGUCUGCAUACAGGCCGAAGCAUACUUUUUUAAAAGCUUUAUUUAUUUUUCUUAGGUUUUUUUUCCUGGUCUGUUUUCUUUCACAACAUGACUAAUAUGGAAAUAUAUUUUGCAUUACUACACAUAUAUAACCUAUGUAAAAUUACUUGAUUUCUCAAUGAAAGAGAAGUUUAAAGACCCAAAUGUUAACAUUUUAAGAAAUGAAUGUUUAAAAUUGUUUUUACAUAUAAUUGGGGGAAAUAAAUUUUUUUCAAAAAAGGCUUCCUCUCAUUUUAUACAUACUAAUGACUAAUCCAGUUUGAUAUUCCCGAAAUCUGAGUUUUUCUAUGCUCCAUCCCUAGGCAAAAUUAUUCAUUUCUACCAUCAUACAUAAGGGAUGAGCUCCAAACAUAUUUCCUAGUCUCUAUAGAGAUGUAACAAUCUCUAGCAAUGUAAAACCAUGGAAAAAACGAACUUCUGGAAUGAUAUGAGGAAGAUAGAAAAUGUCUUGUGGGGGGAAGGACAAUAGAAAUCCAUGUGGUAUAGAGCAUGCUUGUUAUUGAAGUUGGGUCAGUUUUUUUAAGCGUAGACAUUAGACUUGUGACAUCAUCAAUACAGAAAACUCCUAAGUGAGGAAACUUCCGGCAUCAAGGCUGACCCCUUAACCAUACUCUAUACUGCUUUUCACUACAUCCUCUAUGAAUGUAAACUCACCACUAAUUUAGUACAUAAAAACAUAUGUGAUUUAGUUGUAAAAAAAUAUAAAAACAAAAAGACCUUCAAGUUUGGUGUGCUUAAGAGAAAUAAAACCCCAGAAAACAAACCCCUUGCCUCUCAGAACUUAAUUUUUCCAUUAUAAUUCGUCUUCCAGCUUCCAUUCUGGCAUCUCAUUGAGCUGAGUCUCCUUGGACUCUGAAACACAAGAACAGACUCAUGGGAGGUCAAGCCAGAAAGGACCUCUGAGUUCAUCCCUUCCAGCUCCCUCAUUUUACAGAGAGGGAAAGUCACUUGCCUCAGGGACACACAGUGAGUUAAUAAUAGCCUUGCACAGUACCUGUACCAGGACCUAGGUCCUUGGAGUCCUAACAUUAGCUCUUUCCCAUUCUGACAUCUACUGGCCCUUCCAGUCAUGACCAUACCAGCCCCUGGUCACAAAAUCUCUUGUUGACUUGGCAGGUCUUUCCCUACCCGACUUGUACCUAUCCAUGUACCUUCUAUCCUUGGGGAGGAAGCUCAGCUCAGCCCAUUCUUCCUGGGAAGCCCUCUCUGAUUAAAUGCACUUGCUGGAAAGCUCUGGGCACCUACAGCUUUACACCCUUUGGCAAAUAGAGUAAUUUACUGUGUUGCUUAGUAAUUAACUGUGUUUCUUUCUUCUAGCUAUUCUUAGUGUCUCUAUUUCCACCUGGAGUAAAGGCAGCCUCAAGGCAGAGACCCUAGAAUCCACCCACCCCUGUCCCUCAUGGUGUCUAGCACCAGACUCUGCAGAGGAGGUGGAGUAUUUAAAGCUGGAAGGAAACUUAAAGAUUAUCCUACCCAGCCCCCUCAUGAGUCCCUGAAAUGUGAAAGCUAUUGUCAAAGGACACAUAAGUUUACCCUCAAUGGCAGAGUCAAGAUUUGAACUUGGAUCUUCUGCCUCCAAAUCCAUCGUGUUUUUUUCUGAAUGUCUGCCCAACUAUUCUCCUCAAGAACUAUAAAUGCUAUAAUGCAAUAUAUUGACAAAAUGCUACUCAGAAAACAUACCCAGUGUAGGUCACCAGGGACCACUAGGGUCAGUUUAGAGACUGGUUCCAGAAAAUAAAACAAACUCUUGUUUGUGUUAUUGGAAGAAAAAGAGCUCCUCCAGAAAUCUCUGCCACAUGAACCUCAAUCUUAAUUUACGCACUAUUAUUUAAACAGGAAUCAUUUAUACUUGCUACUCAGGCUGACUUCAUAAACUAUCCCAACAUGAAAGUCAUUCUUUCAUAUAUGGGGGAUUCUGGUCUACACUGGCACCCUUAAGAAAUGGAGCACUCCUGCCCUCAACCGGGAGUCAUAGGCUCUAGUCUUGCUCACUGAGUAAUGAAUCACCUCCUUUUGAUUCCUUGAAGAGUCUCCAACCCCAAGCUUUGAGUAUUGAGACAGGAUUUCUACAUUAGGGAGGACACCGGCUCUCCUUCUUUAUCUCUGCCUCCUUCAAUUGCUUCAAUUGCUCUAGCUUCAAUUCUCAGCUAAAAUCCCACCUCCAACAGGAGUCUUCCCCAGUCUUCCUUAAUCUUAGCAACAUCCUUGAGAGAUCCCAUCUUCUCCUAGGAGAGAUAGCGUACCAUUCCCUCAAAGCAGUCCAUUCCAUUUUUGGACCACUCUGAUAUUAUUUUCCUCCCUCUUAUCAAGCCAAAAGUUGCUCUUCAAAAUCUCCACUUGCUCGUCUUGGUUCUAACCUCUGGUGUCAUACAGAACAUCUCAUCCUUUCUCUGCAUCAAAACCUUUCAAGCACCUGAAGAUAGGUAGCAUGUCCCUCAAAUGCAUGCCCAAUUCCUUCAAUCAAUCCACAAAGGAUGCAAACCAAAGGCCCUUCAACACCCUGGUUGUCCUCUGUUCUCUCCAGCUUAUCAGCUUCUUUCUUCAGCUGCACCCAAACAGAACACAACUCUUUUCCUCUCUCCCUCCCCCACCAGAGGUUAUCAGGAUUAAGCGACUUGCCCAGAAUGACAUAGCUAGUAAGUGUCAUAUGUCUGAAGCACAAUUUGAACUGGUCCAAUGAGGGCAAAGAACAGUGGGAUUAGCACCUUCAUUUUUCCUGGAAGCAACAUCUGUCUUAAUAUAGCCCAAGAUCUCAUUAAUCUGUGUGGCUGACAUAUUUCAUCACUGACUGAUGGAGCUUGAGGUUCACUAGCAUUCUCAGAUUUAUCUUGAACGCCAUCCUUCAUAAUCUUGAACUUGGGGAAACCUUUUUUUUCCCCUAAAACUUUUCAUAAUAUUAUUAAAUUUGGGGAUCCUGACUUUGUCAUCCUAUAUGAGCCAUCCCUCCCAGCUCACUGUCACCAGCACUUGAUGAGCAGAUCAUCCAUCUAUGCCUUUAUACAGGCACAGGGCCAAGCCCAGACUCCUGGGAUUGUAGACGCCAUGAUUAACUAAGAAUCAUUCAUAUAAGACUGGAAGUUCUUUGAGGGCAGGGACUGUUUUUUGCCUUUUUUUGAACCUCAGUGCCUGGCACUGGAAUCCAUCUGACUAAAUUCAAAUCUACAGCUCUCCAUCUUCUCCACAAGAAUAGUAUGAAAAACUACCAAAUGCUUUGUUAAAAAUCCAGGAAAAGUGUGCUACACACUCCAAAUUGCAUUCUAUGCCUUUUGUCUGCAGAUAAUUCUUAUCAUCACCUACGCCUGAGAGCACAAUCAGCUCUGGACCUACUUCUCCUAGAUCCCUCCCAUUCCAGGUCACAGACACAGACUAGUAGGUGAGGGUUUAUGUUCUUUGAGAGAACAUAUAAAAGAAAAGACUCAUUUCCAGAAGGAAACACACACACAUAUCUAUCUUGUUUUUUCUUUUUUCUCUUGUUUCUCUCUCUCCUCUCUCCCUUUCCCUGUCCCUCUUUUUUUCCCUUUGUUUCCUCUCUCUCCCCCAUUC
rnacentral:lncRNA from 1 species